GAUUCGGUAGGAAGGUCAACUAUUAUAUGCACCCCGGUGCUUCUCUCCAAGUCCAUAUGUGUUAGUGCCGAUGAGAUGGCUUUCUCUGCACAAUCUCCAUGUGAUAUAUUUUUGACUCAUUGUAGGUUGGAUUGAUAGCCCCGACCUAGAGGUCACAUUGCGGCUCAAACUCACGACGCCAAAUAAACGAUUCAUCAUCACUAGAUUCCUCAUUUCUUAGAGUCUUCAGGCUGACAGGGGGCAAAGUUUUAUCUCCAACAUUACCCUGCAAAGAAAUACACACGUGAAACAUACGUGAGUAAUGAGUUGAUUCAAAAAAAAAUUCCCACGUUAGAGUGAACAACUUCACGUGAUGAUGUAUAAUGAGGAUUUGCUAUACAUUCUCCAAAAAAAAAAAAACUCUGGUGCAAGCUAUCAUAGACACUGGACUAAAGCCUAUUCGCUAGUCAUGUUCUACUCUUGCAAAUCAAUUAUUUCAGGUCCAGGGGCUACAACUGUGAUUACUACAAGUUUGAGCAAAGAAGCUAAGGCAUAAUGCUACAUGGGUGCAUCAGAUUUGCCCUAAUACCACAUACAAACAUGUUGCUGGACUACCAAUAUAGCUAAUGACUUAAACGUGCUGAUAAUGCUACCUUGGGUUAUGAUAUUAAUUACUUGACAUGUCAGCAUGUUACCUGGGAUUUAUUCAUGCCACUAGCAUCUGGCUGUCCACCUCCUGAUUCCUCAGAAGUUUCUCGGUCAGUGCGACCGGAAGAAUUAUGCUCGCGGGCUCGACGGCCAAAGCGAUUGGCUUUAUUCCGAUAAGCUUGCCCACGGAAUCAAUUAUUACGGCCACGUCCGCAUUGCUCACGUGCAGUUGGCUAGUUCUGAUCAUUCUUUCCAUGGUCAGGCAAGAAAUCAUAGCCUUGCUGAUGAUAGUCACCGCGAUUGCCCU
rnacentral:lncRNA from 1 species